AUUGCCUACCUGCAGAAGCACUGGAAGUGUGGCUGCUGGGACACAUGAGUGUCAAAAGGUGGCAGAAAUGGGAGAGGCUGUCUAUGAUCAGUGUUCUGACCUAUGAACAUCUGAAUUAUUAGUAGCCUAACAUA